ACUGAACGCUGGCGGCAUGCUUUACACAUGCAUGUCGAACGGUAACAGGCCGCAAGGUGCUGACGAGUGGCGAACGGGUGAGUAAUGCAUCGGAACGUGCCCAGUCGUGGGGGAUAACUACUCGAAAGAGUAGCUAAUACUGCAUACGAUCUAUGGAUGAAAGCGGGGGACCGUAAGGCCUCGCGCGAUUGGAGCGGCCGAUGUCAGAUUAGGUAGUUGGUGGGGUAAAGGCUCACCAAGCCAACGAUCUGUAGCUGGUCUGAGAGGACGACCAGCCACACUGGGACUGAGACACGGCCCAGACUCCUACGGGAGGCAGCAGUGGGGAAUUUUGGACAAUGGGCGCAAGCCUGAUCCAGCAAUGCCGCGUGCAGGAAGAAGGCCUUCGGGUUGUAAACUGCUUUUGUACGGAACGAAACGGCUCUGGUUAAUACCCGCGGCUAAUGACGGUACCGUAAGAAUAAGCACCGGCUAACUACGUG
rnacentral:rRNA from 1 species